CAGUCGCAGCUGUGAAUGGAAGUCCAAGG
rnacentral:piRNA from 1 species